AUGUCUGUGUGUCCCAAUGUCCAUAUGGCCAAUGUCCCCAUGUCCGUCUGUCCGUGUGUCCCCAUGUCCAUAUGGCCAAUGUCUCCGUGUCUGUGUUCCCCAUGUCCAUAUGUCUGUGUCCCAGUGUCCCUGUGUCCAUGUGUCCCAAUGUCCAUAGGGCCCAUGUCCGUCUGUCCCCAUGUCCGUGUGUCCCCCUCUCUGUGUGUCCAUGUGUCCCAAUGUCCACAGGGCCAAUUUCCUUGUGUCCUUGUGUCCCCAUGUCCAUCUGUCCCCAUGUCUAUGUGUCCCCUUGUCUGUGUGUCCAUGUGUCCCAAUGUCCAUAGGGCCCAUGUCCCCAUGUCCCUGUGUCCCAUGUCCAUGUGUCUGUCUGUCUGUCCCCAUGUCUCUGUGUCUGUCCCCAUGUCCCAAUGUCUCUGUCUCAUGUCCAUGUGUCUGUCUCCAUGUCCCCUUGCCCACGUGUCUGUCUGUCUCCAUGUCCAUGUGUCUCUCUGUCUGUCCCUGUGUCUGUCUGUCUCCAUGUCUCUGUGUCGCAUGUCCAUGUGUCUGUCUGUCCCCAUGCCCACAUGUCUGUCUGUCUGUCUGUCCCCGUGUCCCUGUGGUGUCCCCCUGGUCCCCACCUUGGUGCCUCCAGACCCUUUGAGGGAUCUCAGGGGGGACCUGGGAGGUCCCAGGGGAAUUUUGGGGGUCCCAGGGAGGUCUGGGGGGUCCCGGGUGCAUUUGUGGUGAUUUUGGGGUGGUUUUGG
rnacentral:lncRNA from 1 species